GGCAGUAUCCAAGGGGAUUUGACAAAGCUAGGUUCAAUGAUUUCAAAUUGUUGACCAAUAUAACAGGUUCGGCAGUGUUCCAAAUUGAUAUGGACAGUAAACUGAACAAUUGUUUUGGUAUUUUGUAAGCACGAUCGACAAUUUGGAAGUGAUCAUUUAGUGGGUAGGUUUGUGUGUGGGUGGGGUUAAUUCACAGUACAUAAGCCGGAGAACAUUAAGAUGAAAAUAAUGACAAAUAUUUAAUGUGAUUCGCAAUGUAUAUAGAGGUGGAUGAAAUUGAGCAACCUUGCUUAUUGUAGGUAACAUUAAUGAGGACCUUUGACUGUCUGUGUGGGAGUGUAAAUUUUGUUGUUUGUCGGUUACUUGUAUUUCAAGGAAACACGGAGAGCUAAGAUGAACAGCAUUGUGGUAACUUACUGCUAGGGUUUCUCUCUCUUAAAACACCAUCUAGUCAAUCUAAAUUUACCUUACGAUAGUCUAAACCAUGAAUAAUAGUGAUGUUAAAAUACAAAGCCAGCAUUUCACCCACAGAGUGCAAUAGUGGCAGAGCUGCAAACGACCCCCACACGGAAGAGAAACAACAAUCAGUCAGUCAGUCAGUCAGUCAGUCAGUUCUCCCACAGCGGUGGCAGUGGUAUUCCGAAGCAGCGCAUGUGUGACGGCAUCAAUGAUUACUGCAGUAACGGAGAGGAUGAGUUUGUGCAGCUGUGUGGGAUUGAGGAGUGCCGGGAGAAGAAUGUCGGGUGUGUGUGAGUCUGUUUACAUCAACACUCGAGAGUCAUACUACUGCCAGUGCCGGCCAUGCAGGGUACAGACUCGUGUCAGAAAGUUCAAGUGUGAAGACGUUGACGAGUGCGUGGAGUCGCCCAGAUCCUCUCCCUGUGGACCAUCCC
rnacentral:lncRNA from 1 species